rnacentral:lncRNA from 1 species
UUUUGCGGGGGCAGCAUGAGCAGACUCAGGAAGAAAAUGCUGGCCUUGAGAUAGAUAGCUCUUCAGAGGAUCCAGAUUAAACUAAGUUCGAGUCACUUCUCACAGUUGACUUCCUCACCAAAUAAUAAGGGGGUGAAGAAGACUCGGCCUACCUACUACUCAGUAAUCCUGCUGUCCAGUCGACUGGAGAAGAGAGAUUUGUUCACCUCUACUAGUUUUAUUUGUUCUUAGUAGUUGUAGAAUUUAAAUUGGUUUUAAUGAAAUGUUCCUUUUAUGAAAUUUUAAAUAAAAGCCAUUUAGUGUAUAUUUAGUAUAGCAAGAAGCAUGUGAAUAAGCUCCAUAUAACCUGACAUUGCGCAUCUUACAGCAUCCUCUUGGUCAGAUGUCUAAUAAAAAGAUUGUUAUUUU